AUUGAACGCUGGCUACAGGCUUAACACAUGCAAGUCGAGGGACCGGCGCACGGGUGAGUAACACGUAUCCAACCUGCCCUUUACUCGGGGAUAGCCUUUCGAAAGAAAGAUUAAUACCCGAUAUAAAGGAUGGGGAUGCGUUCCAUUAGGUUGUUGGGGAGGGAACGGCUCACCAAGGCUUAGAUGGCUAGGGGUUCUGAGAGGAAGGUCCCCCACAUUGGAACUGGGACACGGUCCAAACUCCUACGGGAGGCAGCAGUGAGGAAUAUUGGUCAAUGGGCGGUAGCCUGAACCAGCCAAGUAGCGUGAAGGAUGAAGGCUUAUGGGUCGUAAACUUCUGUUAUAUAAGAAUAUGUAUUAUAUGAAUAAGGAUCGGCUAACUCCGUGCCAGCCGCCGCGGUAAUUC
rnacentral:rRNA from 1 species